GGGGCUGUAACGGUUUCGACGUGUUGGUGAACGUUACUCUGUGAUUCAGGCCGAGAGUGAGUCGUCUCUCGAAAAUCAAAGGCUCAAACUUGUACAUGCGAACAACAUUGUACCCUUUGCUCGUAAGGCCGUUUCUGUCGCCUAAAAACCUCUAAAAGGUUCGAGCGUCUACUAUCUGACUCCGUUAAGGACGGUAGACCAACCCCAACGGAUGCUUUAGCCAGUUGCCUCAGGUCGGCUUGCUAGAUAAGAAAAUCACCUGAGAAUCCCACUGUCCGGGAUAAGGGACAGUUCCCGCCUCAGGAUUAGAAAGGCUAAGCCUGUGAACGAUCAGGGGAUUAAUACCCAGGGCGGACAGGAGUUCGACUCUCCUCAGCUCCAUUA
rnacentral:tmRNA from 1 species